rnacentral:rRNA from 1 species
AGUGGCGAACGGGUGAGUAACACGUGAGCAAUCUGCCCUUGACUCUGGGAUAACUACGGGAAACUGUGGCUAAUACCGGAUACGACACCUUGGGGCAUCCCCGGGUGUGGAAAGAAUUUCGGUCAAGGAUGAGCUCGCGGCCUAUCAGCUAGUUGGUGAGGUAAUGGCUCACCAAGGCGACGACGGGUAGCCGGCCUGAGAGGGCGACCGGCCACACUGGAACUGAGACACGGUCCAGACUCCUACGGGAGGCAGCAGUGGGGAAUAUUGCACAAUGGGCGAAAGCCUGAUGCAGCAACGCCGCGUGAGGGAUGAAGGCCUUCGGGUUGUAAACCUCUUUUAGCAGGGAAGAAGCGAAAGUGACGGUACCUGCAGAAAAAGCACCGGCUAACUACGUGCCAGCAGCCGCGGUAAUACGUAGGGUGCAAGCGUUGUCCGGAAUUAUUGGGCGUAAAGAGCUCGUAGGCGGUUUGUCACGUCUGCUGUGAAAAUCCGAGGCUCAACCUCGGACCUGCAGUGGGUACGGGCAAGCUAGAGUGCGGUAGGGGAGAUGGGAAUUCCUGGUGUAGCGGUGGAAUGCGCAGAUAUCAGGAGGAACACCAAUGGCGAAGGCACAUCUCUGGGCCGUAACUGACGCUGAGGAGCGAAAGCGUGGGGAGCAAACAGGAUUAGAUACCCUGGUAGUCCACGCCGUANACGGUGGGUGCUAGU